AUACUUAGCCGCCAAAAACAAUACCAUGAUCAUGAAGGUGUUUUACCAAGGGAGAGGCUCAACCAUUGCUCUUCGUGUGAACUCACCGCUGCGAGUUCCCUUAAUCUGGGAUUCUCGACUGCACAAUUUCUGGUAGUGGGGAAAUGCGUUCGCGCUCUCCCUUG